rnacentral:other from 1 species
UGUCUCCUGGGGUGUUCGCCAGUUGGUGUCGUCCUUGAGCCGUUAUAGAAACGAAAGGGGGCUUGGCGAUGGUGACGGUGUGCUUGCCUGUGCCGGGUUUCGUUCCGCACGGGAUGCCUUAGACGCCGCCUGGGUCUCCGCCUUGAACCACAACGGUUCAGGGCUAUCCAUCAGCGGCACUUUCGGGAGACUC